AAGUCCUUUUAUACGAAUGCAUGCAGUUAUUCUGCUGAAGUGCUAUUUAUUACUUUUGACCUGAAGAGCAGCAAUAUGCUGCACAACCUUGAGGAGAAUGCAUAGGCAAGUACACUUGUGAUGUUUUCUGCACACAAGGAUUCUCACCCUCUCAAGGAAAACCAUAGUUAAGAGCUAUCAUGCCACUCCUAGAAGUGAAUUCUAAAGCCUGAUGAUCAUCUGUCACCCCACAGCCCAUACAUUUUCCUUCCUCACUAGUGGGGUGGAGCAAGAGAAGUCAGCAGCAAGGACAAGCAACGAUUUAAUAUUUCUCUGCAAUUUCUGUGUCACCAUUGCUGUGGGGCAGAGAGCCCCCUGCGGCCACCUUUUUUGUAGCCUUUUCUUCACUCAACAUUUCUGAUGUCACACAGACAGAAUUACUGCAGCUUGCAGUUCACCUCCUCAAUUCUGAAAUUAUUUCUAAAUCCUCAGAAAACCAGCUGGACUAUUUGACCCUCCUAUUGUCUGCAUCUGCAUGUGACCAAGUGCAAAAGAGCUGGUAAUUAGUAUGAGGAAUGUAUUAAGCUCACUGUGCAACACCAAUAAUUGCUGAAUGCUGGGCUAAGCCAAGGGGCAGAAUGGAACCAACCUACACCCCCUACAAUGAAUCAAGACUCAGAGAAGAUGAGAAAAAAAAUAUGUCAGCGAAGACUGUAAAGAAUUACCACCAACUAUCCUAAAGCUGAACUUACCUCAACACCAAGGGGACUGGAGGGUAACCUUUGUUUUAGAUACAUGUCUGUACCAGUGGGUGAUCACACUGUGUAAACAACCUUCCCCAAGAUAACUGCUAGAGAAUAAUGUCUUGCUGAGCUAGCCAGACCAACAUGGUAUGGGAGAAAUACAUACGUGGCUCAGUCAAAAACAGUAUAGAAACUGAACAACCAACACCAUGCAUUUUGGAGAGAGCAACAGGCCUGAGUGGACUUCAACCCACAUACUCCUUCCUGGUGACUAUGGGUGCCCAGCAUCGUGACAGUGAGCAUACAGACUCAUAACAAGAAUUAAGUUUUUAUUGUGAUUCAUCUGUAUAUUGCAAUUCCUAUUCUAUCCUUGCAUUGUGAUUUCAGGACAUUGCUGUAUCACUCUUCUAAAUCAAAAGCCCAUGUAACACUGAAUAUAUCAAAUAAAUCUGAUAUUAAACAUAAAACUCCCAUGCAAAGUAUCUAAAAGAACCUGGUCAGAGAGUAUUGGAUUCUGACACAUAUGAAAACAUCAAGCAAGAUUAAAUGGAGGAAUAAAACCUUUCUUGUAACUGGGAAAUAACUGAAAGGGUGAUGACUCCUUUUGUUCUUGUACUAAAUCAAUUAGGAUAAGACUUUUAUUGUGGUGGUAAGCAGUAUUUCAUAUCAUCAAAUCCAGUUGACAGUAAUCUAAAUGGCAGUUUGUGCUCAGUGUCUUUUCCUAGCAAGAAUUAGAUUUGCAAAUGCCACUUAAUGGAGAAAAUAUAAUGUAGAGUAUUUUCUAGCUACAGGUACAGCUCAGUGAAAUCAGUCAUCCUCCUAAGUGUCUAGAUUCCAGGUGCUACCAGAUUUUCCAGCAACUGGUAAGACUCUACAAAACUUCAUGGAAUGCUGGACAAUUUGCUCAUCUUAAGUGCUCCACUGCAAUACCUGACAGUAUCACAACCACUUAGAUUAACCACUUUCCUAACUCACUUCAAACUUUUCAAAAGCAAAGCAAUAAGGUCUUUCUGAGGAAACCUUUUCACCUAAAAAUAAAUUUGCACCAGUUAAAGAGAAAAUAAUGUAUAUUAUUACUUGAUGUACUAAUAUAACACUCAUGUUGUGCAUUUUUUCUUGGCUGACCCAAAAGUCAAUUACUGAGUUUAUCUGACAUCAGCUUUUAUAUAAAUAGAAAGUAAAACCAAACAAACAAACAAAAGAGCAUCAUUUUAGUAACUUUAAUAGCUUUGCCAAACUUUAAUCACUUGGGCUGAAAAUUUCCAUGAUGAUUGUCUGUCCUGGCCUGUACAAACUUCAUUCAAAAUUGUUCAUAAUAAUACUCUAAUAAUAACAGCUAUAGAAAAGACCAUAUAGAAAUGAAUCAUUUUGUCUUUAGAAUAGGGCUUGACUAGCUUGCAGUGAAUACAGCACAGUCACACUCCAAACAAAGAGGCUAAAGCAAAAUUCCAAAUAGCUAUUCACUAAAUAGCACCAUCUAACCUGAACGCUGAAUAAGUGGUCCUGAAGAAAAAAAUAGCACAUCAUGACGUUGUUCAAGGCUGUCAUAUAAUGUAAACAACCAACUUCAAUGCUUCCCAGCUUUUCCAUUCUUGAACUUGCAACUGUAAAGAAUUUGACUGUGUUUAUGUGUGUACUCUUGCAUGCAUACAUAAAUGCAAUAAAUAUACAUGUCAAAUAGAAGCAAUGAGCCAAAACGGUGUAAGUUUUAAAAGAAAUAAUGCAUUACCUGAAAUGGGAAAAUUUGAACUAUUCUCCCAAUAUAAACAUGUAGUUUCAUAUUGUUAUUUGGCAGUACCAUGCAGGCUCCAUAAGAUGGCAGACCUGCACAUAUCUAACAGAUGCUGGUGUAAUGACAUCGCUGUAAAUAUAUUGCUUUUAAAAUGGUUGCUUUAAAUGGAUGGUUCAUGUUUUUAGUCUGAAUGUUUUGAAUGUGAUGUAUUUAGAACCGUAACUCUGCUCACUACUCUGUAUUACCUUUCCCAUACUCACUGAUGGCUUCGGACAUGGCCUACAUAAAGCACUCAUAAAAAAUUAAAAUGUAGCAUUAUGACUCAGACCUGAUUGAUUUGAAAUUACCUGAA